rnacentral:rRNA from 1 species
AGAGUUUGAUCCUGGCUCAGAUUGAACGCUGGCGGCAUGCCUUACACAUGCAAGUCGAACGGCAGCACGGGUGCUUGCACCUGGUGGCGAGUGGCGAACGGGUGAGUAAUAUAUCGGAACGUACCUUAUCGUGGGGGAUAACGCAGCGAAAGCUGCGCUAAUACCGCAUACGCCCUGAGGGGGAAAGCGGGGGACCGUAAGGCCUCGCGCGAUUAGAGCGGCCGAUAUCUGAUUAGCUUGUUGGUGGGGUAAAAGCCCACCAAGGCGACGAUCAGUAGCUGGUCUGAGAGGACGAUCAGCCACACUGGGACUGAGACACGGCCCAGACUCCUACGGGAGGCAGCAGUGGGGAAUUUUGGACAAUGGGGGCAACCCUGAUCCAGCAAUGCCGCGUGAGUGAAGAAGGCCUUCGGGUUGUAAAGCUCUUUUGUCAGGGAAGAAACAGCAGCUCUAACACAGUCUGCGAAUGACGGUACCUGAAGAAUAAGCACCGGCUAACUACGUGCCAGCAGCCGCGGAAAUACGUAGGGUGCAAGCGUUAAUCGGAAUUACUGAGCGUAAAGCGUGCGCAGGCGGUUAUACAAGACAGGCGUGAA